UGCCAAAAAGUGCAUGCAGUGGGAAA
rnacentral:piRNA from 1 species